rnacentral:rRNA from 1 species
AGUGAACGCUGGCGGUAGGCCUAACACAUGCAAGUCGAACGGCAGCACAGUAAGAGCUUGCUCUUACGGGUGGCGAGUGGCGGACGGGUGAGGAAUACAUCGGAAUCUACUUUUUCGUGGGGGAUAACGUAGGGAAACUUACGCUAAUACCGCAUACGACCUACGGGUGAAAGCAGGGGAUCUUCGGACCUUGCGCGAUUGAAUGAGCCGAUGUCGGACUAGCUAGUUGGCGGGGUAAAGGCCCACCAAGGCGACGAUCCGUAGCUGGUCUGAGAGGAUGAUCGGCCACACUGGAACUGAGACACGGUCCAGACGCCUGCGGGAGGCAGCAGUGGGGAAUAUUGGGCAAUGGGCGCAAGCCUGAUCCAGCCAUACCGCGUGUGUGAAGAAGGCCUUCGGGUUGUAAAGCCCUUUUGUUGGGAAAGAAAAGCAGCAGGUUGAUACCCCGCUGUACUGACGGUACCCAAAGAAUAAGCACCGGCUAACUUCGUG